GACGAACGCUGGCUGCGUGCUUAACACAUGCAAGUCGAACGGAAAGGCCCUGCUUUUGUGGGGUGCUUGAUUGGCGAACGGGUGAGUAACACGUGAGUAACCUGCCCUUGACUUUGGGAUAACUUCAGGAAACUGGGGCUAAUACCGGUUAGGAGCUCCGUCUGCAUGGUGGGGGUUGGAAAGUUUCGGCGGUUGGGGAUGGACUCGCGGCUUAUCAGCUUGUUGGUGGGGUAGUGGCUUACCAAGGCUUUGACGGGUAGCCGGCCUGAGAGGGUGACCGGCCACAUUGGGACUGAGAUACGGCCCAGACUCCUACGGGAGGCAGCAGUGGGGAAUAUUGCACAAUGGGCGGAAGCCUGAUGCAGCAACGCCGCGUGCGGGAUGACGGCCUUCGGGUUGUAAACCGCUUUCGCCUGUGACGAAGCGUGAGUGACGGUAAUGGGUAAAGAAGCACCGGCUAACUACGUG
rnacentral:rRNA from 1 species